rnacentral:rRNA from 1 species
UACGUAGGGAGCAAGCGUUGUCCGGAAUCAUUGGGCGUAAAGCGCACGUAGGCGGCUUGGUAAGUCGGACGUGAAAUCCCGGGGCUCAACCCCGGAAGGGCGCUCGAUACUGCCGAACUUGGGUCCGGAAGAGGAGAGUGGAAUUCCUGGUGUAGCGGUGAAAUGCGCAGAUAUCAGGAAGAACACCUAUGGCGAAGGCAGCUCUCUGGGACGGUACUGACGCUGAGACGCGAAAGCGUGGGGAGCGAACAGG